UUUUUUUUUUUUUUUUUACUUUCAAUCCUUUUUUAUUUCACCAUAUGGUAGCUGCAACCAUAAGAAAAAACAUUGGGAUUGAAUUCUCUUUAUGAGGAACCUAUUGUAAUACAGAUCAGCUAUUAUGCAACUCUUCAACUUAUUUGUUACGACUCGUAACGCAACUGUAUACUUGUCAAACACAUAUCAGACACUUUUGCACUUCGUUUUGG
rnacentral:misc_RNA from 1 species